rnacentral:rRNA from 1 species
UACGUAGGGCGCAAGCGUUGUCCGGAAUUAUUGGGCGUAAAGAGCUCGUAGGCGGUUUGUCGCGUCUGCUGUGAAAACCUGAGGCUCAACCUCGGGCUUGCAGUGGGUACGGGCAGACUAGAGUGCGGUAGGGGUGACUGGAAUUCCUGGUGUAGCGGUGGAAUGCGCAGAUAUCAGGAGGAACACCGAUGGCGAAGGCAGGAUCACUGGGCC